ensembl:lncRNA
UAACUCUAUAAAUAAAAAAAAAUGCAUUCACAGAAUUGCUCAGUGUCAGCACCAAACCACCCACCACCCGAUGAAAUUCCCAGCCAACAGGGUAAGAUUUGUGCAAAUUAUAAACCUUUAUUUUCCUGAUCCCUGCCCUGCCUUCAGUCCCCUGUCGUGCUUCAGAUGAUCAACAGGAAGUGUUCAGAGUGCUGUCAGCCCUAUGUAGGUAUCUGAGGAAAGAGCGGUGACAACUGGAGGUUCAGAUGGGUUGCACAGAUUCACACAAGACCCACUACAAUCAGAAGACGACCAACCUGCACAUCGAGAAGCUGUCCUGUCUCUGGCUGGGAGGCCUUCUCCAGCUGCUGCACAUGCUAACAGGCAAAACAUCAGGGAGUAAUACAAGCUUUUAAUGCUUAUGUGAACCACAGGCGUUCUUACAAUGUAUCAACCCGCAGUGAGACUGUAAAAGCAAAAUCUUGCUUUUAAUCUUGCACAAAUAAUAACAGAUUCAGGAAUGUAUUCAAGGAAGAGACUGGCAAAGAAAGAGUGGGAUAGUCAGGGAGCUGAAGGAAGGAGUACUAAAAGGCUAGGUGCACAGCAAAGAGAGAGGUGUCACUGGCACAGCAAAAGGCUUGUAGUGAGUUGUAUGUGAGGCUGGACACUAAGGAGAAAAUGACUUGUAAUGAAUAGGAAGGCACAUAAAUUGUGCUGGAAGAGAGUAACCAAGUAUAGAGACGGAAAUGUGCUAAUGAGAAGACAGUGUGUUGAGAAGAGAGGAGGAGUACUUUGGAUGAAAAUGGAAUUAGAGAAGGAAGUGAGGCAACUCUGAAGAGGAUGGAGACGGGAGGCAUAGAGAGGGUAGGAGUGAAGGCUAACUGUGGCGCUGCAUAAGGAAGUCCUGAGGGGCAGAGAAGUAUGUGAUGGGUUGAGAUUACAUCAGAGAGAGGCUCUGAGCCCCUUCUUGUUUGCACUGGUGAUGGAGAGGCUGACGGAUGAGAUCAGGCAAUAGUCUCUGUGGAUGAUGUUUUCAGACAACCACAGAAAGGAUUCGUGGAUGUAGUGAAGGAGGACAUGCAGGGGGUUGGUGUGACUGAGGAGAAUGCUAGAAAUAGAGUGAUGGUGGCAGAUGAUCCACUGUAGCGACCUCUAAAGGGAGCAGCCGAAAGAAGAAGAAGCACAAAUAAUUCUAAUUAUGCUUUUCUUUUAUUCUCAGUACUAUGUAAAGGAAGUCAAGGUCGUUUCCUCUUACAAUCACUUUGGUCAUGCUGUUCUUA